GGUUCACAAAAAAAUCCUUAAGGGUCCAUGAGGGGGAGUGGUCCACGGGUCCAUGGGAGUUUAAAAACAAGUCAGCGGUAACCAUUUAAAUGAGAUUAGUCAAAUAGGAAAUGGGUUAGCCCAUUUUGAAAUAAAGCAAGCCUAUUUGGUUCUAAACCAAAUUGACAGCCCAUUUGAAUGAUUUUUGACCCGAAAAAAUUCCACAUGAGUCCGACUCAUGAGAGAUACAAUUAGGUCCAGUUUCGGCUCGAUCCAAGUCCGACUUAGAUCAGAACAAAUACGAAAUUAAAUCCCAAUUAAAUCAUGAUCGAGCCCAAUUACACUAAUUUAGACCCAAUCAAAUCCAAUCUCAACAAUUGAGUCCUGAUCAAGUUCAAUUAUAUUAAUUAAAACUUGAUUGACCCGAAAUACAGACAUAAUUAGUUGUUCAUCCAUGAAAUUUAGCAUGUACCUCAUGUUCAGUGCUAGCUGAACAUAGACAGAACCAAAUUCCAAAUGACCCACAAUUUAAUUUUUAAUUAAAUUGGGUCAUGUUGCCCAGUAGAUACAACCCAAGAGGGGGGGUGAAUUGGGUCUUUUAAAAACUUUUAUAUUGCUUUUGAAACUUUUUGAUUAAUUAUGCUAAGUUGUACAGAUGCACAGUGAAAGUUAAACUUAGCAACAGUUUAAUGUAUAGAACGUGACUUGAUUGAAUAUGCUUGCAACUAAAGGAUGCGCGGAUAAGAGUUAAGCAAGCAAUUUAUCUAAGUAAGUAAGUGUGUUAGUUAGA
rnacentral:lncRNA from 1 species